AUGCAAGUCGAACGGUAGAGGGGGCAACCCCUUGAGAGUGGCGAACGGGUGAGUAGUAUAUCGGAACGUGCCCAGUCGUGGGGGAUAACGUAGCGAAAGUUACGCUAAUACCGCAUACGAUCUAAGGAUGAAAGCGGGGGAUCGCAAGACCUCGCGCGACUGGAGCGGCCGAUAUCAGAUUAGGUAGUUGGUAGGGUAAAGGCCUACCAAGCCAACGAUCUGUAGCUGGUCUGAGAGGACGACCAGCCACACUGGAACUGAGACACGGUCCAGACUCCUACGGGAGGCAGCAGUGGGGAAUUUUGGACAAUGGGCGAAAGCCUGAUCCAGCCAUUCCGCGUGCAGGAUGAAGGCCCUCGGGUUGUAAACUGCUUUUGUACAGAACGAAAAGGUCUCUAUUAAUACUGGGGGCUCAUGACGGUACUGUAAGAAUAAGCACCGGCUAACUACGUGCCAGCAGCCGCGGUAAUACGUAGGGUGCAAGCGUUAAUCGGAAUUACUGGGCGUAAAGCGUGCGCAGGCGGUUAUAUAAGUCAGAUGUGAAAUCCCCGGGCUCAACCUGGGAACUGCAUUUGAGACUGUAUAGCUAGAGUACGGUAGAGGGGGAUGGAAUUCCGCGUGUAGCAGUGAAACGCGUAGAUAUGCGGAGGAACACCGAUGGCGAAGGCAAUCCCCUGGACCUGUACUGACGCUCAUGCACGAAAGCGUGGGGAGCAAACAGGAUUAGAUACCCUGGUAGUCCACGCCCUAAACGAUGUCAACUGGUUGUUGGGUCUUAACUGACUCAGUAACGAAGCUAACGCGUGAAGUUGACCGCCUGGGGAGUACGGCCGCAAGGUUGAUACUCAAAGGAAUUGACGGGGACCCGCACAAGCGGUGGAUGAUGUGGUUUUAUUCGAUGCAACGCGAAAAAACUUACCCACCUUUGACAUGUACGGAAGGAU
rnacentral:rRNA from 1 species